rnacentral:ncRNA from 1 species
CAACCAGAUCAGUGAUGUUCUGGUGAAUUGUAAGAAGUCAGCCGAAGCCAUAGUAGUCCCUACAGGGACGAAGGGC